UACCGCAUAAGCCCACGGGUCGGCAUCGAUCUGAGGGAAAAGGAGCAAUCCGCUUUGAGAUGGCCUCGCGUCCGAUUAGCUAGUUGGUGAGGUAACGGCCCACCAAGGCGACGAUCGGUAGCCGGACUGAGAGGUUGAACGGCCACAUUGGGACUGAGACACGGCCCAGACUCCUACGGGAGGCAGCAGUGGGGAAUAUUGCACAAUGGGGGAAACCCUGAUGCAGCGACGCCGCGUGGAGGAAGAAGGUCUUCGGAUUGUAAACUCCUGUUGUUGAGGAAGAUAAUGACGGUACUCAACAAGGAAGUGACGGCUAACUACGUGCCAGCAGCCGCGGUAAAACGUAGGUCACAAGCGUUGUCCGGAAUUACUGGGUGUAAAGGGAGCGCAGGCGGGAAGACAAGUUGGAAGUGAAAUCUAUGGGCUCAACCCAUAAACUGCUUUCAAAACUGUUUUUCUUGAGUAGUGCAGAGGUAGGCGGAAUUCCCGGUGUAGCGGUGGAAUGCGUAGAUAUCGGGAGGAACACCAGUGGCGAAGGCGGCCUACUGGGCACCAACUGACGCUGAGGCUCGAAAGUGUGGGUAGCAAACAGGAUUAGAUACCCUGGUAGUCCACACCGUAAACGAUGAUUACUAGGUGUUGGAGGAUUGACCCCUUCAGUGCCGCAGUUAACACAAUAAGUAAUCCACCUGGGGAGUACGACCGCAAGGUUGAAGCUCAAAGGAAUUGACGGGGGCCCGCACAAGCAGUGGAGUAUGUGGUUUAAUUCGACGCAACGCGAAGAACCUUACCAAGUCUUGACAUCCCUUGACGAACAUAGAAAUAUGUUUUCUCUUCGGAGCAAGGAGACAGGUGGUGCAUGGUUGUCGUCAGCUCGUGUCGUGAGAUGUUGGGUUAAGUCCCGCAACGAGCGCAACCCUUAUGGUCAGUUACUACGCAAGAGGACUCUGGCCAGACUGCCGUUGACAAAACGGAGGAAGGUGGGGAUGACGUCAAAUCAUCAUGCCCUUUAUGACCUGGGCUACACACGUACUACAAUGGCGUUAAACAAAGAGAAGCAAGACCGCGAGGUGGAGCAAAACUCAGAAACAACGUCCCAGUUCGGACUGCAGGCUGCAACUCGCCUGCACGAAGUCGGAAUUGCUAGUAAUCGUGGAUCAGCAUGCCACGGUGAAUACGUUCCCGGGCCUUGCAAU
rnacentral:rRNA from 1 species